UACAGAGGGGGGCAAGCGUUGUUCGGAAUUACUGGGCGUAAAGGGCGCGUAGGCGGCCUUCUAAGUCGAACGUGAAAUCCCCGGGCUCAACCCGGGAACUGCGUCCGAGACUGGAAGGCUCGAAUCCGGGAGAGGGAUGUGGAAUUCCAGGUGUAGCGGUGAAAUGCGUAGAUAUCUGGAGGAACAUCGGUGGCGAAGGCGGCAUCCUGGACCGGU
rnacentral:rRNA from 1 species